AAACUUACCUGGCUGGGGGACUCUCGCGAUCAUCAAGGCGGGAACCCCAUAGUGGGGCCCUCGCAUUGCACUUUGGCUUUGGCUGACCUGUGUGGCAGCUUCUCAUUGAGGUUGGCCAACAGCUAAAUUUUUGUGUGUGGGGCUGCGUUCGCUCGGCUCUGG
rnacentral:snRNA from 1 species